rnacentral:rRNA from 1 species
CCUGAAUCAGUGUGUGUGUUAGUGGAAGCGUCUGGAAAGGCGCGCGAUACAGGGUGACAGCCCCGUACACAAAAAUGCACAUGCUGUGAGCUCGAUGAGUAGGGCGGGACACGUGGUAUCCUGUCUGAAUAUGGGGGGACCAUCCUCCAAGGCUAAAUACUCCUGACUGACCGAUAGUGAACCAGUACCGUGAGGGAAAGGCGAAAAGAACCCCGGCGAGGGGAGUGAAAAAGAACCUGAAACCGUGUACGUACAAGCAGUGGGAGCACGCUUAGGCGUGUGACUGCGUACCUUUUGUAUAAUGGGUCAGCGACUUAUAUUCUGUAGCAAGGUUAACCGAAUAGGGGAGCCGAAGGGAAACCGAGUCUUAACUGGGCGUUAAGUUGCAGGGUAUAGACCCGAAACCCGGUGAUCUAGCCAUGGGCAGGUUGAAGGUUGGGUAACACUAACUGGAGGACCGAACCGACUAAUGUUGAAAAAUUAGCGGAUGACUUGUGGCUGGGGGUGAAAGGCCAAUCAAACCGGGAGAUAGCUGGUUCUCCCCGAAAGCUAUUUAGGUAGCGCCUCGUGAAUUCAUCUCCGGGGGUAGAGCACUGUUUCGGCAAGGGGGUCAUCCCGACUUACCAACCCGAUGCAAA